CCUACGGGAGGCUGCAGUGAGGAAUAUUGGUCAAUGGACGAGAGUCUGAACCAGCCAAGUAGCGUGAAGGAUGAAUGCCCUAUGGGUUGUAAACUUCUUUUAUAAAGGAAUAAAACGAGGCACGGGUGCCUUUUUGCAUGUACGUUAUGAAUAAGGAUCGGCUAACUCCGUGCAAGCAGCCGCGGUAAUACGGAGGAUCCGAGCGUUAUACGGAUUGAUUGGGUUUAAAGGGAGCGUAGAUGGGUUGUUAAGUCAGUUGUGAAAGUUUGCGGCUCAACCGUAAAAUUGCAAUUGAUACUGGCAGUCUUGCGUUCAGUUGCGGUAUGCGUCAUUCGUGUUGUAGCGGUGCAAUGCUUAGCUAUCAC
rnacentral:rRNA from 1 species